UACGGGGGGGGCAAGCGUUGUUCGGAAUUACUGGGCGUAAAGGGCUCGUAGGCGGCCAACUAAGUCAGACGUGAAAUCCCUCGGCUUAACCGGGGAACUGCGUCUGAUACUGGAUGGCUUGAGUUUGGGAGAGGGAUGCGGAAUUCCAGGUGUAGCGGUGAAAUGCGUAGAUAUGUGGAGGAAUACCGGUGGCGAAGGCGGCCUCCUGGUUCAAUACUGACGCUGAGGUGCGAAAGCGUGGGGAGCAAACAGG
rnacentral:rRNA from 1 species